UACGUAGGGUGCGAGCGUUGUCCGGAAUUAUUGGGCGUAAAGAGCUUGUAGGCGGUUUGUCGCGUCUGCUGUGAAAAUCCGGGGCUCAACCCCGGACUUGCAGUGGGUACGGGCAGACUAGAGUGUGGUAGGGGAGACUGGAAUUCCUGGUGUAGCGGUGGAAUGCGCAGAUAUCAGGAGGAACACCGAUGGCGAAGGCAGGUCUCUGGGCCACUACUGACGCUGAGAAGCGAAAGCGUGGGGAGCAACAGG
rnacentral:rRNA from 1 species